AUACGGAGGGUGCAAGCGUUGUUCGGAAUCAUUGGGCGUAAAGAGCGCGUAGGCGGCUUGGUAAGUCGGGUGUGAAAUCCCGGGGCCCAACCCCGGAACUGCAUUCGAAACUGCCUCGCUAGAGUCUCGGAGAGGAAGGCGGAAUUCCCGGUUUAGAGGUGAAAUUCGUAGAUAUCGGGAGGAACACCAGCGGCGAAGGCGGCCUUCUGGACGAUGACUGACGCUGAGGUGCGAAAGCGUGGGGAGCGAACAGGAUUAGAAACCCCAGUAGUCC
rnacentral:rRNA from 1 species